GACGAACGCUGGCGGCGUGCUUAACACAUGCAAGUCGAACGGAAAGGCCCCCAUCUUGGUGGGGGUGCUCGAGUGGCGAACGGGUGAGUAACACGUUGGUGAUCUGCCCUGUACUUCGGGAUAAGCUUGGGAAACUGGGUCUAAUACCGGAUAUGACCAUGGUUUAGUGUCUCAUGGUGGUAAGAUUAUUGUUUUGGUGCCGGAUGAGCUCGCGGCCUAUCAGCUUGUUGGUGGGGUAAUGGCCUACCAAGGCGUCGACGGGUAGCCGGCCUGGGAGGGUGGACGGCCACAUGGGGACGGCGAUACGGCCAAGACGCCUACGGGAGGCAGCAGUGGGGAAUAUGGCGCAAUGAGCGCAAGCCUGUGGCAGCGACGCCGCGUGGGGGAUGACGGGUUGCGGGUUGUAAACUCCUUGCGUUAGGGACGAAGCCACGCUUUUGGAGUGUGGUGACGGUACCUUUGUUAAGAAGCACCGGCUAACUACGUG
rnacentral:rRNA from 1 species